AGAAAGAAACAAAAUCACGUAAUGCUCCUCUCCCUUUCACGUGAAGAACAAUAAACUCACAGAAGCCCUUUUGCUUCAGCAGCCGCGCAGCCUCCACACAACCGCCACCGGCGCUCCUCCUCCGGCCGGUAACCUCAGCGUUCUCCCAGUCUUGCUUCAUUCUUUCUUCCUCUCAUUCUUUUUCAAUCACUUUAUCUGGCUAUUUCUAUUUAUUGCGCCAGCAACCACCACGUUGCCACCACGUCGCCACCACCACCAGCACCUGCACCGACCUGCUGUUGUCGUGCCGCCAGCCUUCGGCCACCCUCCACCUCCUAUCUCCUCCAUACAAGCAACGCUCUCCUUCUCUUCUUAUUUCUUGUGCAAGGCACCACAACCACUGCCGUACUCCUCCGCCUAGCGCCACCCUUACCGUCGGCCGUCCAGCUUCUCCCCUUGUUGCCGCACCACCACGCCGUUGCACCACCUCCGGCCAGCUUACCUUCUCUCUUUUGGUUGUUUUAGGUGGAGAAUUCUCUUUAGGCGACUUUUGAAAGUGUUAAAGUGGCCUAUCAGUUCGUUUACACAAGUUUCUAAGGAUUAAUAAGCGUUGCCCAUCUACAGGUUUGAAGAUGAUGCAUCAUUGGGAGCGGGAUUAGAGAGCUUGUAGUUAGAUUUGGUUUGUUAAUUUGGAUUUGAAAUUUGUCGUACUAUUCGUAUUUCCUUAUUUCCGUUAAUUGGUUUUGGGACUUAAUAUGUAAUCGGUUAUUUAUGAACCUAAAAGUUAGUUUUAUGUUUUCCGCUGCAAAAUUCUGAAUAAGCCGUUAC